UACGUAGGGGGCAAGCGUUGUCCGGAUUUAUUGGGCGUAAAGAGCGUGUAGGCGGCCGCACAGGUCCGUUGUGAAAACUGGAGGCUUAACCUUCAGACGUCGAUGGAAACCGUGCGGCUAGAGUCCGGAGGAGGAGAAUGGAAUUCCUGGUGUAGCGGUGAAAUGCGCAGAUAUCAGGAAGAACACCCGUGGCUAAGGCGGUUCUCUAGUACGGUACUGACGCUGAGACGCGAAAGCGUGGGGAGCGAACAGG
rnacentral:rRNA from 1 species